GAUGAAGAACGCAGCGAAAUGCGAUACGUAAUGUGAAUUGCAGAAUUCAGCGAAUCAUCGAAUCUUUGAACGCACAUUGCGCCCGCCAGCACUCUGGCGGGCAUGCCUGUUCGAGCGUCAUUUCAACCAUCAAGCCCCAGGCUUGCGUUGGAGCCCUGCGGCUGCCGCAGCCUCCUAAAAGCAGUGGCGGGCUCGCUAUCACACCGAGUGCAGUAGAUUACUCUUCGCUCAGGGCGUGCAGCGGGUUCCGGCCGUGAAACCCCCUACUUUUAAAGGUUGACCUCGGAUCAGGUAGGAAUACCCGCUGAACUUAAGCAUAUCAAUAAGCGGAGGA
rnacentral:misc_RNA from 1 species